CCACACGACCGUACCGCAAACCGACACUGGUGCGCGAGAUGAGUAUUCUAAGGCGCUUGAGAGAACUCAGGAGAAGGAACUCGGCAAAUUGACACCGUAACUUCGGAAGAAGGUGUGCCUUUAGUAGGUGAACCUGUACAAGGGGAGCCCAAUGAGGUUGCAAAAAAUCGGUGGCUGCGACUGUUUAAUAAAAACACAGCACUCUGCAAACACGAAAGUGGACGUAUAGGGUGUGACGCCUGCCCGGUGCUGGAAGAUUAAAUGAUGGGGUGCAAGCUCUUGAUUGAAGUCCCAGUAAACGGCGGCCGUAACAAUAACGGUCCUAAGGUAGCGAAAUUCCUUGUCGGGUAAGUUCCGACCUGCACGAAUGGCGUAACGAUGGCCACACUGUCUCCUCCUGAGACUCAGCGAAGUUGAAAUGUUUGUGAUGAUGCAAUCUCCCCGCGGAAAGACGGAAAGACCCCAUGAACCUUUACUGUAGCUUUGUAUUGGACUUUGAACAGAUCUGUGUAGGAUAGGUGGGAGGCUUUGAAGUGUGGUCGCUAGAUCGCAUGGAGCCAACGUUGAAAUACCACCCUGGUGUGUUUGAGGUUCUAACCUAGGCCCGUAAUCCGGGUCGGGGACAGUGCAUGGUAGGCAGUUUGACUGGGGCGGUCUCCUCCCAAAGCGUAACGGAGGAGUUCGAAGGUACGCUAGGUACGGUCGGACAUCGUGCUAAUAGUGCAAUGGCAUAAGCGUGCUUAACUGCGAGACUGACAAGUCGAGCAGAUGCGAAAGCAGGACAUAGUGAUCCGGUGGUUCUGUAUGGAAGGGCCAUCGCUCAACGGAUAAAAGGUACUCUGGGGAUAACAGGCUGAUACCGCCCAAGAGUUCAUAUCGACGGCGGUGUUUGGCACCUCGAUGUCGGCUCAUCUCAUCCUGGGGCUGUAGCCGGUCCCAAGGGUAUGGCUGUUCGCCAUUUAAAGAGGUACGUGAGCUGGGUUUAAAACGUCGUGAGACAGUUUGGUCCCUAUCUUCCGUGGGCGCUGCAGAUUUGAGGAAGCCUGCUCCUAGUACGAGAGGACCGGAGUGGACACACCUCUGGUGUAUCGGUUGUCACGCCAGUGGCAUUGCCGAGUAGCUAUGUGUGGAAGAGAUAACCGCUGAAAGCAUCUAAGCGGGAAACUCGUUUCAAGAUGAGAUCUGCCGGGGCCUUGAGCCCCCUAAAGAGUCGUUCAAGACCAGGACGUUGAUAGGUCGGGUGUGGAAGCGCAGUAAUGCGUUAAGCUAACCGAUACUAAUUGCUCGUGCGGCUUGACCAA
rnacentral:rRNA from 1 species